UACGUGAGGGUGCGAGCGUUGUCCGGAAUUACUGGGCGUAAAGAGUUCGUAGGCGGUUUGUCGCGUCGUUUGUGAAAACCCGGGGCUCAACUUCGGGCUUGCAGGCGAUACGGGCAGACUUGAGUGUUUCAGGGGAGACUGGAAUUCCUGGUGUAGCGGUGAAAUGACGCAGAUAUCAGGAGGAACACCGGUGGCGAAGGCGGGUCUCUGGGAAACAACUGACGCUGAGGAACGAAAGCGUGGGUAGCAAACAGG
rnacentral:rRNA from 1 species